CUCAUUAUUUUUGGUAAUUGUAAUCAUCUUUCAUGCCGCUGAAACGAUAAAAAGCCUCUCUUUCUGUUUUAACAGGCCCGUGUUUUUACAAAAUUAAUGUAGUUUGACAUUAGCCUUUUUUUUGUUUGAUGCAGGCACUGAUUGUGUUGGGCCUUGUGGGUUCUGCUCCAUCAUUUACUCCAAGGACAUCACACUUGCCCGUGGUUCACAAUCAUUAUUUGCAAACCCUGCCUCUUUAGGGUUGUACUGGAGCCAAGAGGAUUGUGUCGUCUCGAAGAUUGUUGUCGAAGAUUUCCUCACAAAAAAGUACCUAAGUUCGUGUCAAAGAUUGCUGUGAAGAAAAUUGAGGCCGAUGGGAUUGAAAAACGCACUACUUAGUUUGUCGUUUUUUUUUUUUUGGAAAAUGUAUUGGAUUUUUAGGUAUUUUAGAAUUUUGGAUCUGAAUUUUGUACGAAUAUCGUUACAUUUUAGAGUUCAGUUAAUAAUGAUUAUUGGAGUUAUUUGAUA